rnacentral:rRNA from 1 species
UACGGAGGGUGCAAGCGUUGCUCGGAAUUAUUGGGCGUAAAGCGCGUGUAGGCGGCUUUGUAAGUCUGGUGUGAAAUCCUGGGGCUUAACUCCAGAACUGCACUGGAUACUGCAAAGCUAGAGGGCGAGAGAGGACGAUGGAAUUCCUGGUGUAGGGGUGAAAUCCGUAGAUAUCAGGAGGAACAUCAGUGGCGAAGGCGGUCGUCUGGCUCGCACCUGACGCUGAGGCACGAAAGCGUGGGGAGCAAACAGG